UACGUAGGAGGCAAGCGUUGUCCGGAAUUACUGGGCGUAAAGCGCACGUAGGCGGAUCUUUAAGUCAGAGGUGAAAUCCCAAGGCUCAACCUUGGAACUGCCUUUGAUACUGGGUAUCUUGAGUAUGGAAGAGGUAAGUGGAAUUGCGAGUGUAGAGGUGAAAUUCGUAGAUAUUCGCAGGAACACCAGUGGCGAAGGCGGUUGCCUGGGGCUUUGCUGACGCUGAUGCGCGAAAGCGUGGGGAGCGAGUCCGG
rnacentral:rRNA from 1 species